rnacentral:piRNA from 1 species
UCUCGGUUAAUGAGAAGGUCCUAAGGG